rnacentral:rRNA from 1 species
GUCUUUUUGAGUUAUAUUUAAAGUCUGACCUGCCCACUGAAUUAUUUAAAUGGCCGCAGUAUUUUAACUGUGCAAAGGUAGCAUAAUCAUUAGUCUUUUAAUUGAAGGCUGGUAUGAACGGUUGGACGAGGUAUAAGCUGUUUCAUAUAAAUUUGUAAUAGAAUUUUAUAUUUUAGUUAAAAAGCUAAAAUGUAAUUAAAAGACGAGAAGACCCUAUAAAUCUUUAUAAUUAUUAUAAUUUAAAUUUUUUUGAUUUGUUUUAUUUUUAUUUUAUUAGUUAUUUUGUUGGGGUGAUAUUAAAAUUUAAAAAACUUUUAAUUUUUGAAAAUCAUUAAUUUAUGAGUUAUUGAUCCGUUAAUAGCGAUUAUAAGAUUAAGUUACUUUAGGGAUAACAGCGUAAUUUUUUUGGAGAGUUCAUAUCGAUAAAAAAGUUUGCGACCUCGAUGUUGGAUUAAGAUAUAAUUUUAGGUGUAGCCGCUUAAAUGUUAAGUCUGUUCGACUUUUAAAUUCUU